rnacentral:rRNA from 1 species
GACGAACGCUGGCGGCGUGCUUAACACAUGCAAGUCGAACGGAAAGGCCCUGCUUUUGUGGGGUGUUCGAGUGGCGACCGGGUGUGUAACACGUGAGUCACCUGCCCUUGACUUUGGGAUAACUUCCGGAAACUGGGGCUAAUACCCGAUAGGCGCUCCUGCUGCACGGUGGGGGUUGGAAAGUUUCGGCGGUUGGGGAUGGACUCGCGGCUUAUCAGCUUGUUGGUGGGGUAGUGGCUUACCCAGGCUCUGACGGGUAGCCGGCCUGAGAGGGUGACCGGCCACAUGGGGACUGAGAUACGGCCCAGACUCCUACAGGAGGCAGCAGGGGGGAAUAUUGCACAAUGAGCGGAAGCCUGAUGCAGCAACGCCGCGGGCGGGAUGACGGCCUUCGGGUUGUAGACCGCUUUCGCCUGUGACGAAGCGUGAGUGACGGUAAUGGGUAAAGAAGCACCGGCUAAGUACGUG